AGUGAACGCUGGCGGUAGGCCUAACACAUGCAAGUCGAACGGCAGCACAGUAAGAGCUUGCUCUUACGGGUGGCGAGUGGCGGACGGGUGAGGAAUACAUCGGAAUCUACUUUUUCGUGGGGGAUAACGUAGGGAAACUUACGCUAAUACCGCAUACGACCUACGGGUGAAAGCAGGGGAUCUUCGGACCUUGCGCGAUUGAAUGAGCCGAUGUCGGAUUAGCUAGUUGGCGGGGUAAAGGCCCACCAAGGCGACGAUCCGUAGCUGGUCUGAGAGGAUGAUCAGCCACACUGGAACUGAGACACGGUCCAGACUCCUACGGGAGGCAGGAGUGGGGAAUAUUGGACAAUGGGCGCAAGCCUGAUCCAGCUAUACCGCGUGGGUGAAGAAGGCCUUCGGGUUGUAAAGCCCUUUUGUUGGGAAAGAAAAGCAGCAGGUUAAUACCCCGCUGUUCUGACGGUACCCAAAGAAUAAGCACCGGCUAACUUCGUG
rnacentral:rRNA from 1 species